UACGAAGGGAGCUAGCGUUGUUCGGAAUCACUGGGCGUAAAGCGCACGUAGGCGGAUUUGUAAGUCAGGGGUGAAAUCCCGAGGCUCAACCUCGGAACUGCCUUUGAUACUGUAAGUCUUGAGUCCGAGAGAGGUGAGUGGAAUUCCUAGUGUAGAGGUGAAAUUCGUAGAUAUUAGGAAGAACACCAGUGGCGAAGGCGGCUCACUGGCUCGGUACUGACGCUGAGGCGCGAAAGCGUGGGGAGCAAACAGG
rnacentral:rRNA from 1 species